rnacentral:lncRNA from 1 species
AUGAAGUACACACUCUGUAAGAUAAAGGUAAUGAGAGGCAUAUUUAUUGGGAAGAUAAAGAAGCUUAUGUUUGCAGGCCUCACGCCUGCCUGGGGCAGCUUGCCUGCCUAGGACCCCAUUCAAGGCCCUGGAAAUAACCCAACAAUGGGCUCACUUGGUCCUGCCACUUUUGUAAAAUUUGCAGAGGAAUGAUUUUGUUUUGCUACAAAUUCACCUUGUCAUCAAGGAAAGGACAAUAUUACUAGAUGUAGUCCAAGAUAUUCAACUGCACGCAAAGGUAAAAAGAUGGUCAUGAUGUUUGUACUCAAUUGCUUCAACAGCCCAAAUUUCUGAAUGGAAAUCAAACUCAGUGUGAUAUAAUAAGUAGCUUUCCUUGGGAAUAAACCAGUGUGGACUGGUUCUCCAUUUGUUCAAGUAGGAGGAAAGCCACCAUGGAAACUACUAUACCAUAAAAGCCACGAGAAAAGGGAAUGUCCCAACACUGUGUCUUGCUCAUGUUAUUCUCUCCAGAAAAUUCACUCAGCUGAAUUUUAAGAAAGCUAAAAGUUUAUGCCUGAGAGGAUUGCCACUAAAUGCCUACUACUGCACAAGCAUCCUUGCCCACAGUGUCACAUGAGAGAGUAAUCAUAAAGAACAAAACUAAAAUAUCGACUUUGUGCAAAACGCAUGUGAGAUCACUAUUAUUGAAGGGUAUUCUUUGCGGAAAAAAAUGAAUGUGGGUUUUUAUAGAAACUGUACUUUCAAUGAACGGUUUUGAAUAAAGAAAGCAAAUGAAAAGAGCAUGUACCUACAGACAAUGUUAUUUGAUUUAAAAAAGUAUUCCAUAUUUACCGUGCCUUUUCUUAUUCACAUUUUUAUUAUUACUCUCCCACAUAGUGAGACUGGAGAUUUUAUAUUCAAUGUAUGCCAUAUAUAUAAAAACAUAAUUUGAGAUAAAUAAUCUCGAAUGUAUGCCAUAUAUAUGUAUAACAUAAUUUGAGAUAUAUAAUCUUGAAUCAAAACAAGGAUAACAGUGUAGCCUGAGAAUUGGCCAUUUUUCCUAUGGUAAAAUUAAGCUAAAAUGAUGGUUUCCUCUCUGGCAAUAUUUAGCAAUUGGAUUUUUAUUUCCAUGUUUUAAAUGUUGAAAGUUCUUAAUAAAUGAAAUAUAAUGUUCAUGAUUUUGUCAAGUUACACAUACAUUUUACAGGAUUGAAAAUUAAGCAGUAUUAUAUUAGAGACAUACAACUUUAGAUAUAUGUUUAAUUCUUUCUCUUGUUUAACAAGUUUGUAUAUUAUCGGGUACACUUAUCCAGUCUACCCAGGUCAUUGCAUGUUAUAAACAAUUUUCUACAAUGUAAACUAUGUUAAAUUGUGUAUUAUGUAUAUCCUAAUUAUUUUAG